AGAGCGCUCACCCUUGACUUCCUGCAGGUCACCUAUGUGGAUUUCCUUGCUUAUGACAUUCUUGACCAGUACCGUAUGUUUGAGCCCGAGUGCCUGGACGCCUUCCCAAACCUGAAGGACUUCCUGGCCCGCUUCGAGGGCCUGAAGAAGAUCUCUGCUUACAUGAAGAGUAGCAGCUUUCUCCCAAGACCUGUGUUUACUAAGAUAGCCCAGUGGGGCACUGAUUAGGCCCCUGCCAUGCUGGCACUCACAGGAAGGACCUGUCCACACUGGAUCCUGCAGGCCCUGGGCAGGAACAGCACUUUUGCACUGUGGCUCCUGGUUCUCUCUCCUUCCCUAUCCCUUCUCCAGCUUUCUCAGCCUCAUCUCCUCGCCCUCACCCCAGUCAAGUCCACACAGUCCUCAUUCUUCCCACUUUCUUUCAUUAUGAUCCCCUUCUUCUUAUGGCACCCUAACCCAUCCUCACAGACCUUUUCUGUGAUUUGAGGUCUGCCCUGAACUCAGGCUCCCUAGAAUUAACCCAAAGGUCAAUGCUGUCUCAGUGCCAGCCCUCCUUAGAAUUACCCCGAAGCUCAACACUGUCUCAGUGCCAGCCUGUUCUCCUGGAGGAGCUUCCCUCAGCCUGUCUCAUCUCUAAUAAAGCCUGAAACAC
rnacentral:lncRNA from 1 species